CAGAGGGUGCGAGCGUUAAUCGGAAUUACUGGGCGUAAAGCGUGCGUAGACGGUUAUUUAAGUCGGGUGUGAAAGCCCCGGGCUCAACCUGGGAAUUGCAUUCGAGACUGAAUAGCUAGGGUACGGUAGAGGGAAGCGGAAUUUCCGGUGUAGCGGUGAAAUGCGUAGAUAUCGGAAGGAACAUCAGUGGCGAAAGCGGCUUCCUGGACCAGUACCGACGUUCAGGCACGAAAGCGUGGGGAGCAAACAGGACUAGAUACCCUGGUAGUCCACGCCAUAAACGAUGAGGACUAGACGUUGGAGGGGUAAGCCUUUCAGUGUCGUAGCUAACGCGCUAAGUCCUCCGCCUGGGGAGUACGGCCGCAAGGUUG
rnacentral:rRNA from 1 species